rnacentral:rRNA from 1 species
GAUGAACGCUGGCGGCGUGCCUAAUACAUGCAAGUCGAGCGGAAAGGCCCUUCGGGGUACUCGAGCGGCGGACGGCUGAGUACCGCGUAGGAACGUACCCCAAAGUGAGGGAUAACUGCUCGAAAGAGUAGCUAAUACCGCAUGUGCUCUUCGGAGUAAAGCUUCGGCGCUUUGGGAACGGCCUGCGUCCUAUUAGCUAGUUGGUGAGGUAAUUGCUCACCAAGGCGACGAUAGGUAGCUGGUCUGAGAGGAUAAUCAGCCAGACUGGGACUGAGACACGGCCCAGACUCCUACGGGAGGCAGCAGUAGGGAAUUUUCCACAAUGGGCGAAAGCCUGAUGGAGCAACGCCGCGUGCAGGAUGAAUGCCUUCGGGUUGUAAACUGCUUUUAUAGGUGAAGAAUAUGACGGUAACCUAUGAAUAAGGAUCGGCUAACUCCGUGCCAGCAGCCGCAGUAA